rnacentral:rRNA from 1 species
UGCCAGCCGCCGCGGUAAUACGAAGGGUGCAAGCGUUACUCGGAUUUAUUGGGCGUAAAGCGCGCGUAGGCGGAAUGGCAAGUCAGAUGUGAAAUCUCGGGGCUCAACCCCGAAACUGCGUCUGAAACUGCUACUCUAGAAUCGUGGAGAGGGAAGGGGAAUUUCUCAUGUAGGGGUAAAAUCCGUAGAGAUGAGAAGGAACACCAGAGGCGAAGGCGCCUUCCUGGACACGUAUUGACGCUGUGGCGCGAAAGCGUGGGGAGCAAACAGGAUUAGAUA